rnacentral:rRNA from 1 species
CAGCCGCCGCGGGAAUACGGAGGGUGCAAGCGUUAUCCGGAUUUAUUGGGUUUAAAGGGUCCGUAGGCGGAUCUGUAAGUCAGUGGUGAAAUCUCACAGCUUAACUGUGAAACUGCCAUUGAUACUGCAGGUCUUGAGUAAAUUUGAAGUGGCUGGAAUAAGUAGUGUAGCGGUGAAAUGCAUGGAUAUUACUUAGAACACCAAUUGCGAAGGCAGGUCACUAAGAUUUAACUGACGCUGAUGGACGAAAGCGUGGGGAGCGAACAGGAUUAGAUACCCCAGUAGUCCCUGUCUCUUAUAC